CUGGUGAAGACUAACUAGUGAACAGUAUUUGUCAUGUUGAUGUGAUUUAAGAAAUGACAGAAGCAGCGAUGAGUUUAAGUGCAGCAGCGAGUGGAUUUGUUCUCUUCCUUCUCUCUUUAUCAGGGGUACAGAGUCAGGAUAAUAAUGGAGUGAGUUACACUUCACCUCAGAUCUGUGCUUUUAAAGGAUCAACAGUGGACAUAGGCUGCUCUUUCAAAUACCCAUUAAAAUUGUUAAAAAAAGUUUGGCUCACUGAAGGUAUUGAAUAUAACCCCGAUGAUCUAAAAAAAGACUCAGGUCGAGUGUCGUACAGUUCUCAGUGGUACAGCUGCACUCUGACAAUCAGAGACCUGAGAGAGAGCGACUCAGCUGUGUACAAGUUCAGAUACACAACAAACCGGGGUGAUUUUACUGUUUUACCUGGAGUCACUCUGACUGUCACAGUUCUUCAGGUACACGUGAAAAAAUCAUCACAUUCUAACUGGGCAACACUGACUUGUCAGAGCAGUUGUCAACUACAUGAUCGUCCCUCCUACAUUUGGU